rnacentral:lncRNA from 1 species
GCUGUGAAUGAAGCUCUGCCGGCUACGUGGGGCGCUAGCUCAACUCAGUGUCCCGGACGCCAGAGCCGACUGAGCGCUCUGCCCGCCGGCGGCGGACACGGGCUCCGCCGCUCCGGACUUCGGCGACAGGUCCUUGGCGGGCCGCUGGCCCUCACCCACCCUCGGAGCACCCCCUGGGCGCAGCGACACAGGGGAAGCGCUCCCCCACUGGCUCGGCCCACGGGAGAUGGGGGUUCCCCGUGCCUGGCCGCCGCCUCCUGGUACUCGGAGGAGUUAGACCGGCCAGUUCUAGCCAGUGCAGGGCGGCAUCUUCCAGGGAGCCCAGCCCUGUUCUCUGAGCCAGGGUCCCUGCGCUGUCCCAGCGAAGUUUUCUCGCGGAGCCACGCCAAGCCCGCCCCGCUUUUGAAUGGGGGAGGUUAGCUCCAGGCAUCCCCUUUCCAGGACUGGGGCAGGGUGGCUCUGGCUGGUUAAGCCCUGUCGAGGCCCCGUUCAUAUCCAUCCUGCCCUGGACUGGCAAGUUUGUGUGGGUCGUAGCGAAGCGGAGUCCAGACUCUCAGAAAAGUGGUUGCUGCGUUUUCCUUUUCCCACUUCGCUCUCCAGACUUUCCAGGCUUGCGCUUGAGCGCCUUCGCCCCAAGGGGAAAACUUUACCUUCACAUCGAUGCGCGUUUUACCACAUUAACGUUUCAGAGCAAAUCAUUUUCCUGGAGUGCCAAGUGAAGUUGUACGUGUGCCCGUGUGUUAACGUCAGUUGUGAGCUACCCCGAAUGAGGGAGGGGAAUCCAGAUGUGUGGAGCAUAACAGGCCAGUAGGAAUCUGCUUUACGUGAACUUCAUAUAUUUAUUAGCAACUACUUGGGCUUGACUUGCGAAAUGUUAAAUUCUCCUGGUCCCACGAGGUGCAGAUCAGUGCUUUAUCACUGCACGCUAAAUAAGAGGGGAAAAAAAAAAAAAAAAGGCAAGUCAAGACAGACUGUCCCAGGUUCCAGAUAAGUCAUCAGAGCGCUUUUUUUUUCCUGGUGAAUUCAUCCUCGGACUUUUGUGAGUUCCUACUUUUCUUGGACUUCUCUAGCCUUUCCUUAUCCAAAGCACUGUCAUUUCUCUGUUGGCUUUUGGGGAUGAGUGUACACUCUCACACGUUUGUCCUUUAAAGAAGGCAUUAAAAAAAGGCCAAAAUGGGAGUUCCGGUCGUGGCUCAGCGGAAACGAAUCGGACUGCCAUCCACGAGGACUUUGGUUCGAUCCCUGGCCUGGCUCAGUGGGUUAAGGAUCUGGCGUUGCCAUGAGCUAUAGUGUAGGUCACAGACAUGGCUUGGAUCCCGCAUUGUUGUGGCUGUGAUGUAGGCCAGUGGCUACAGCUCCGAUUGGACCCCUAGCCUGGGAACCUCCAUAUGCUGC